UACGGAGGGGGUUAGCGUUGUUCGGAAUGACUGGGCGUAAAGCGCGCGUAGGCGGAUCAGGAAGUUGGGGGUGAAAUCCCGGGGCUCAACCCCGGAAUGGCCUUCAAAACUCCUGGUCUUGAGUUCGAGAGAGGUGAGUGGAAUUCCGAGUGUAGAGGUGAAAUUCGUAGAUAUUCGGAGGAACACCAGUGGCGAAGGCGGCUCACUGGCUCGACACUGACGCUGAGGGGCGAAAGCGUGGGGAGCAAACAG
rnacentral:rRNA from 1 species